rnacentral:rRNA from 1 species
AUGCUUAUAGAGUUAUUCCAAGGUGUGGCAGUUGAUGGAUCGUCAGCUUAUGUGCCCGUAGAUGAAGAGGAAGAAGAAUAUGAUGCUGCCGAUGAUGGACACGAGCAGAGUCCAAUGAGCACCACCAGCAGGAAGAGGGGAAGCAGCGGCACUGAACAGUCAGCAACAAGCCCAGGCAAGAAACACAAGAGCCCAAUGGUGAAACUAAUGACAGGGCUGAUCAACAGUAUCAAUAGUGAUAACACAUCUGAGAUGAUCACUGAAUAUGCAAACAAAAGGAAGGAAGCAAAGGACAAGGCAAGAGAGAAGAAAUCAAACAGCACAAAGGAGAGCAUUACUCGUUGUCAAAAGUUGGCGGUUCAAUGUGGUGCAGAAGAAACAAGUGUCGAGUACUUCAUGGCAACUCAACUGUUUGCAGAUGAGGCAAACAGAGUCAUAUUUGAGAACAUUACAAGUGAUGAUGCUAGACUGACUUGGUUGAAGAGGUGGUGCAUGAUGAAGAAGUUGUCCUAG